GGAUUGUCUUAACUAUGCAGGCUCUUUGUUUCCAUUGCUUGGGAUCAGGAGCUCUGGGCUGUAGUGCACUAUGCCAAUCAGGUGUCUGCACUAAGUUUGGCAUCAAUAUGGUGACCUCCUGGGAGCAGGGGACCACCGGGUUGCUUAAGGAGGGGUGAACUGGCCCAGGUUGGAAACAGAGCAGGUCAAAACUCCUGUGUUGAUCAGUAGUGGGAUGACAUCUGUGAAUAGCCACUGCACUCCAGCCUGGGCAACAUAGCAAGA
rnacentral:SRP_RNA from 1 species